GGCGAUAUAGUCAAGUGGUAAGACAGAGGA
rnacentral:tRNA from 1 species